rnacentral:rRNA from 1 species
GACGAACGCUGGCGGCGUGCCUAAUACAUGCAAGUCGAACGCUUCUUUCCUCCCGAGUGCUUGCACUCAAUUGGAAAGAGGGGUGGCGGACGGGUGAGUAACACGUGGGUAACCUACCCAUCAGAGGGGGAUAACACUUGGAAACAGGUGCUAAUACCGCAUAACAGUUUAUGCCGCAUGGCAUAAGAGUGAAAGGCGCUUUCGGGUGUCGCUGAUGGAUGGACCCGCGGUGCAUUAGCUAGUUGGUGAGGUAACGGCUCACUAAGGCCACGAUGCAUAGCCGACCUGAGAGGGUGAUCGGCCACACUGGAACUGAGACACGGCCCAGACUCCUACGGGAGGCAGCAGCAGGGAAUCUUCGGCAAUGGACGAAAGUCUGACCGAGCAACGCCGCGUGAGUGAAGAAGGUUUUCGGAUCGUAAAACUCUGUUGUUAGAGAAGAACAAGGACGUUAGUAACUGAACGUCCCCUGACGGUAUCUAACCAGAAAGCCACGGCUAACUACGUG